UUCCUAUAAAACCAGAAAAUAAUAAUUUGCAACUUCACGACCAAAAUAAUAGAAGACGAAAAAACAGGAAUCCAUAACCUUGCAUAUACCAAGAAAUGAAGAUAAAGAAGAUUCAAGUCAGAAAGGAGUGCAGAUGAAGAAGAUCAAACGAAGUUGUUUCAUUUAAUCUACAUAAAAGAGAAUAUCAUUCAAUAAACCUAAAAUAGACUUUGCACAAUCUCCAUUCAUAUUCUCCAGGGACACUGACAAGAAAACAUUAAAUUCAAGGUCGUCAAAAAGCACAGGAGAACUUGGUUAAAAAUGGAAGAAAAAGUAUACUAAGUACCAGUAGAGUGGCAAAGCACCACGACCAUAGUAUUGGGCUCCAGGAGCACAUGGGUGAAGAUCAAACGAAGUUGUUUCAUUUAAUCUACAUAAAAGAGAAUAUCAUUCAAUAAACCUAAAAUAGACUUUGCACAAUCUCCAUUCAUAUUCUCCAGGGACACUGACAAGAAAACAUUAAAUUCAAGGUCGUCAAAAAGCACAGGAGAACUUGGUUAAAAAUGGAAGAAAAAGUAUACUAAGUACCAGUAGAGUGGCAAAGCACCACGACCAUAGUAUUGGGCUCCAGGAGCACAUGGGUAGGUGUAUUUAUAGUAGUCAUCACAGUAAUCUUG
rnacentral:lncRNA from 1 species